ensembl:lncRNA
AGCGACAAGACGACACCGACAACUACGAAGAAGAACAAGAAUCGUCACGGUCGAGUUAUCCCAAACUCUGCAACCUCGAACAGCGAGAAGGGUUCGCUGUAGCCACGGUCCGAGACGAGGUGUCCUCGUUCAUGGCGUACUUUCUGCCUGCGAUAGAGGACGCCGUCCAGGUGCCAGACCGCCAUCGACGGUUGGAAGCCCCUGGGCCGCACCGAGUUCCGAGCCUACGUAGGGCUGCUGAUACUCGCCGGCGUGUACAGGUCACAAGGCAAGGCCUGCGAGAGCCUGUGGGACGCCGAGAGCGGCAGGUCCAUGUUCAAAGCCACGAUGCCGCUCAAGACCUUUCGGGCCUACUGGAGCGCCCUGCGGUUCAAUGACCGAGAGACCAGAGAGGCCAGGUGUUGCGACGACCACGGUCGAUACGACAAGCUGGCCCCGGUCAGAGCGAUGUCGGUCGAGUGGUGCGGGCGCUUGACUCUCAUGUACUGAUCAGGACCCGAGGUCACCGUGGACAAGAGACUGGUGCUGUUUAGAGGUUUGUGUGUGUGUGUGUGUGUGUGUGUGAAAUGAUGAUGAUGAUGAGGACGUGUGGGACAGAUACUCGGAUUUCCUCAAUGUAGUUCUUUGUACUUUUUGUAUUUUUUAUUUUUUUUUUGCUCGGGGCUUUUAUUUGGUUUUCUCCCUUUGUGCUUGUGAAACUCGGAAACGUUCUGAACUCUGUCUCUCUCUCUGUCUCCCUGUGUCUCAUCAUCUCACCAACAGGAAGGUGUCUGUUCAGGCAGUACAUGCCCGGCAAACCAACCAGGUACGGGAUCAAGAUAUGGGUUGCAUGCGACGCCCGGUCCAGCUAUGCGUGGAAAAUGCAGGUGUACGCCAGCAAGCCCGACAAGCUCGGUCCUCUUGAAAAGAACCUGGCCACUCGAGUGGUCAUGGACCUCACUGAGGGACUGGCGCCCGGACGCUUUUCUUUUUUUUUUUGUCCAGGCCCGGGGCCGCACAAGGGUUAAGCAUCAGAAAUUAAGACGUAAUAGACAAACACAGGGAGAGGACUGUGUCUUUCUUCUUCUUCUUCUUUCUAUUUUGUGUCAAAACAAAGUCCACACAAAGUCCUCUCAUCUAGUGCUAGAGAACAGUUAACAUUCCCUGCUUUUUCUAUCAGUAAAGCCAAAAGUAAAAACAUAUGAAUACGAAAUGGACAACAUACAUCAAAAAAAUUCAAUAAGCCUGAAAUGUCUUCCACAAGGUUGAUCCAGCAUAUGAAUUUACCUUCUGCACACUGCAACUGCAGCAAUAAUUCAUUUGGUAAAUACUUUCGCAUAUUGCAUUAUGACUGUUAAUAUGGAUUAAUUUUUGAUUAUCUGAUUCAAUUAAAC